CACCUGCACAGGUGCUGCAUGGCUGUCGUCAGCUCGUGUCGUGAGAUGUUGGGCUAAGUCCCGCAACGAGCGCAACCCUCGACCUUAGUUGCCAGCAUUCAGUUGGGCACUCUAAGGUGACUGCCGGCUAAAAGUCGGAGGAAGGUGGGGAUGACGUCAAAUCAUCAUGCCCCUUAUGACCUGGGCUACACACGUGCUACAAUGGGCGGUACAAAGGGUCGCGAACCCGCGAGGGGGAGCCAAUCCCAAAAAGCCGCUCUCAGUUCGGAUUGCAGGCUGCAACUCGCCUGCAUGAAGUCGGAAUCGCUAGUAAUCGCAGGUCAGCAUACUGCGGUGAAUACGUUCCCGGGCCUU
rnacentral:rRNA from 1 species